rnacentral:tRNA from 1 species
GGGGCCUUAGCUCAGCUGGGAGAGCGCCUUCUUUGCACGCAGGAGGUCAGCGGUUCGAUCCCGCUAGGCUCCA